rnacentral:lncRNA from 1 species
CACCAAAAGUAUUUAAGCCACACACUUUCUGAGCCUUCUUUGUCUACCUCAAUAUGAUAUAGAAGUAAAGCUAACCACGGGAGAACUUGGCGUGUCCUGUGUUUAUUUCCUGCGGGACAGGGAUAAGCUCGGGAUACUUGGUGCUCGAAACCCGGGGAGAAAACGCCUUAACAACGCGCACACCAGAGGAGACCCUUCUAAUCGAAGCAGGUUCAGAACCGAGGUGGAUCUAAAACUCCGAGAGCAUACUGGAUCCUUGAAGAAGACAACCCAUUCUGGCUGCCGGAACGACUGACACGGAGAAUUCUGACACCUGAAGAUGACUCCCGGAUGGAUCCCUUGGAAACUACCUCUAGUCCUCGUGCUACCUCUGUGGAUUUGGGUUCCUAGUAUAUUUGGAGAGUAUAGAUGGGCAAUUCUGUCUGCUUUCCCUAAGCCCAUGCCUGUCCAUCAUAAUACAGAUGUUUUUCCCAAGUUUUUUACGACCAAUAAAACUUCAGGCCUGCCAUACCUACCAUUUGACCCUAUCUGGGCACCACUGGGAGAAAAACGCUCUUUAAGGGAACGAGGUUCUUUCUGUUUCCAAAUUUAUGAAUUAGGAAAUUGUAUCAGACUCACCAGCCGAGCUUUGGGUAUGUUUUUUAAGCAUCGAGGAGGUUGGGUGAAAAUAACCCAAGACACUUCCAACAGACAUAUAACCCUUACAAAUCGGACCUUCUGGCAUGAGGCAACUUGGGUUAAUGGUAUAUUUCUACCACCUAACUUCUCAGGCAAAGAACGUCCCAAUCAAUCAAAAAUGGCUCCUCAUUGUAGCUUGGAAGAUGAAGGGCUGAUCAUGCCUUGGUCUGAUUGUCAAUCCUCUGUCACUCGUUGGGCAGAUCAGAGUAAAACCUUUUCCUUUUCUCCCAACAUGAUAGAUGACCCAGAGCAGAAAUAUGUUAUGAAAAAGGGACUUUUCAUACAGGACUUUAGAAUGCAUUCUUUUCAUAAAUGGGUACUUUGUGGGAUUAAUGGUAGCUGUACAGAUCUUAAUCCCUUGGUUUUCCUCCAAGGAGGAGCUGCUGGAAAAACGAUUUUUAGUGGUAUUUCAAAAUUUGCUCAGUUUCAUCAAGUUCUGUUACCUGAUAGAACCAUUUAUCAAAAUUCUACUACUGAAAUCACUGGAUUUAAUAAGACACUGAUAAAGCAGACUAAUUAUUUACCUACUCCAGUUUGUGUGUACACCCCUUUCUUGUUUAUUCUUUCUAAUGGUUCCUUUGAAUCCUGUACUAAUGAAACCUGCUGGAUGUCACAAUGCUGGAGCCUUAAGUGGGCCAGCCGUGCAAUGCUUGCCAAGAUUACACGAUGGGUUCCUGUCCCUGUGGAGAUCCCUUCCACCAUAACCUUACACAGGCAAAAGUGAGACUUUGGUAUCACUGCAGCCGUCGUGGUGGCAAUGGCUGCCAGUGCGGCGGCAGCUACAGCUGCUGGAUUUGCUAUGGCAACAUCAGUCCAGUCAAGUACAACUGUCGAGCAGUUGUCCUCCUCUGUGGCAGAGGCGAUCGAUCAACAUUCAGUGCUCAGUGCCCAAUUAAAAGGUGGGCUAAUGAUAGUGAACCAGCGCAUUGACCUGGUGGAGGAAAGGCUGGAAAUUCUGCUCCAAUUGGCUCAGCUUGGCUGUGAUAAGAAAUCAGGAGCCUUAUGUAUUACUAGUGUCCAAUAUGAAAAUUGGACACAUGCAGCUAAUCUAUCUAAAGAAUUGUCUUUGUUUCUUACAGGAAACUGGUCUGAAGGAUUUGAUGAAAAGCUUGAGGCGCUACGUGCAGCAGUGAUGACGAUUAAUUCUACUCGCGUGGACCCAUCAUUGAUCAAUGGAAUUAAAGGACUUUCUUCCUGGAUGUCCUCUGCAUUCUCACAUUUUAAAGAGUGGGUGGGAGUGGGCCUGUUUGGCGCAACCCUGUGUUGUGGACUAGUGUUUCUUCUAUGGCUGGUAUGCAAACUCAGAUCUCAACAGAAACGUGACAAGGUGGUAAUUGCUCAAGCACUUGCUGCCAUAGAGCAAGGCACCUCCCCUGAAAUUUGGCUAUCUAUUCUCAAGAAUUAGUUGGCAUCUGAGUUCUCUGUCUUUGCAUCCCACAAAAUUGUGGAUACAUUGCAUUGAGAUGAGAGAAACUCAACGAUCAUUGAUCAGCCCGUGCGCAUUGCUGAGGUUUCCUCAUUGCAUGUGAUAAGGUGAUCAUGAUUUCCCCACUAAUUCAUUUUUGGCUGGCCUCUUUUGUAGAGUUCACCCUAGGCCAUUUAGCAGUUAUAGUCACACAGCACUGUGGUAUCCAAAGGCAACUUUCCUCAUGCACAGACCAACCUAAGACAAUGGGGCCCGGUGGUGAUAGGGUUACCCGAUAAUGGGUCAGGCUGUGACAUUGGAGGAACGACCUAAAACAGGGGCCACAGCAGAUGGACGUAACUACAGUGGCCUAGACCAGCCUCAUUUUAAUAAAUUAUAGAGAGGGAGAUGUAAAGGGCUGCAAUAUAUGUGCCGCCACUAGAUGGUGCUAAACCUCUUUGUGCACAGCUGCAAGAGCACAGCCCGCCAAAGUCACCAGUCCGUCUCCCGGGACUUUUACCCAACCCCUGGGGGCUUUAACCUAUCCCCAGGGUGCAUGAGGAUCAUGGGUGUUGCUACCAG